rnacentral:rRNA from 1 species
AGCGGGGCCCAUCCCGUAAGGCUAAAUACUCCCGAGAGACCGAUAGCGAACCAGUACUGUGAAGGAAAGGUGAAAAGCACCUCGAACAGAGGAGUGAAAUAGUCCCUGAAACCGUCUGCCUACAAGCGGUCGGAGCAACGUAAGUUGUGACGGCGUGCCUUUUGCAUAAUGAACCUACGAGUUACUUUCUCCGGCAAGGUUAAGGGCUUCAGGCCCGGAGCCGAAGCGAAAGCGAGUCUUAAUAGGGCGUGAUAGUCGGAGUGAGUAGACGCGAAACCAAGUGAUCUACCCUUGGUCAGGAUGAAGGUUGGGUAACACCAACUGGAGGUCCGAAUGGGUAUACGUUGAAAAGUGUUCCAAUGAACUGAGGGUAGGGGUGAAAGGCUAAUCAAACUUGGAGAUAGCUCGUACUCCCCGAAAUGCAUUUAGGUGCAGCCUUUAUUUAGUAUAGCAUGAGGUAGAGCGACUGAUUGGAUGCGAGGGCUUCACCGCCUAUCAAGUCCAGAUAAACUCCGAAUGCGUGCUAUAUAUUGAUAAGGAGUGAGGGCGCGGGUGCUAAGGUCCGCGUCCGAGAGGAGAAGAAUCCAGACCAUCAGCUAAGGUCCCCAAAUAACAGUUAAGUUGAACUAACGAAGUCGGACUGCAGAGACAGCUAGGAUGUUGGCUUGGAAGCAGCCAUUCAUUUAAAGAGUGCGUAACAGCUCACUAGUCGAGGAGUCCGGCGUGGAUAAUACUCGGGCAUAAACUGUUUACCGAAGCUAUGGAUGUAGAAAUACAUGGUAGGGGAGCAUUCCAACGGCGUCGAAGGUGAAGGAUGACCUUUGCUGGAGCUUUUGGAAACGCAAAUGUAGGUAUAAGUAACGAUAAAGGAGGUGAGAAACCUCCUCGCCGAAAGACUAAGGUUUCCUGAUCAACGUUAAUCGGAUCAGGGUAAGUCGGGACCUAAGGUUAAGCCGAACGGCGAUACCGAUGGAAGAAUGGUUUAAUAUUCCCAUACUACUUUAUGGAGCGAUGUGGAGACGGAGAAGUGAAAGUCCUGCCAUCUGACGGAAUAGGUGGUUGAAGAGUGUAGAUGUAGAUUCCUGUAGGCAAAUCCGCAGGGAGAGUCGACCUUGACAGUAUGCCGCGUGCUUGCACAAGGCAAAAUGGACGUAAUCAGGCUCCCAAGAAAAUCCGCUAAGCAUAUUCAUAAAGUACCCGUACCGUAAACGGACACACGUAGUUGGGUUGAGAAUACUGAGGCGCUCGAGUGAUUCACGGUUAAGGAACUAGGCAAAUUGACCCUGUAACUUCGGGAUAAAGGGUCCCUACUGAGAGGUAGGGCGCAGAGAAUAGGUCCAGGCAACUGUUUAACAAAAACACAUGGCUGUGCGAAAUAGAAAUAUGAAGUAUACAGCCUGACACCUGCCCGGUGCUGGAAGGUUAAGAGGAGAGCUCAUCGCAAGAGAAGGUUUGAAUUGAAGCCCCAGUAAACGGCGGCCGUAACUAUAACGGUCCUAAGGUAGCGAAAUUCCUUGUCGGGUAAGUU